AUGUGCCAUCAUCAGAGAGAGCUAGUAGCAAAGAAGAUCGAUCGAUUCCCCAGACUGCUAGCAGCAAAGAAGUCCGAGUCCCCGGAGUCAUCAACCAUCGACGGCCAAGCCACCGCCCCGACCAUGAGCGACACCGUUGUCAUCACCGUCGCCGUCGACAACUCUCUCAUCGGCAAGAGCGGCGCCAUCCAAUGGCCAGCCGUCCGCAAGGCAGACACGCCGUCCGCAGACGGGAUUGAGAGCGUAAUGUUCAGGUACAGAUUCAUGGAGGACCAGCCUACAGUGUUCACCGACGUGCAGGGAAGCGAGGCCGGGCCGUGCGCCGGUGGCCGUGCAUCCACCGACACGGUAGACGGUGCAGUCAACUUGCCACGGACAGACGAGGGACCAACCGCCGACGAGUGCGUGCGCACCACCACUGAUGGAGAAGUCCUGCUAUACGCUCGCGGGGGCAGGGACCAUGCCGCCCACAUGUGCCCAGAAGCGCAGCUCAUGGCCAGUAACUCUGAUAUCUUCCUUACUAAUGACGAAGGGCCAGUCGUGCGGCUCCUUCGAUGGGUUGCUGGUAUAUGCGGGGGCAGCGGCCAUGCCGUCCAUGGUUGCCCCGAAGGCCAACUCAUGGCCGGUAACUCUACUAUCUACCUGAAUGGCCUGGUCCAGUGGCUCCUCCGGUAG
rnacentral:rRNA from 1 species